rnacentral:rRNA from 1 species
AUUGAACGCUGGCGGCAGGCCUAACACAUGCAAGUCUAGCGAGCGGCGGACGGGUGAGUAAUGUCUGGGAAACUGCCUGAUGGAGGGGGAUAACUACUGGAAACGGUAGCUAAUACCGCAUACCAUCAGAUGUGCCCACAUGGGAUUAGCUAGUAGUAGGGGAAAUGGCUCACCGAGGCGACGAUCCCUAGCUGGUCUGAGAGGAUGACCAGCCACACUGGAACUGAGACACGGUCCAGACUCCUACGGGAGGUAGCAGGGGGGAAUAUUGCACAAUGGGCGCAAGCAUGAUGCAGCCAUGCCGCGUGUGUGAAGAAGGCCGUCGGGUUGUAAAGCACUGUCAGCGGGGAGGCGUUACCCGCAGAAGAAGCACCGGCUAACUCCGUGCCAGCAGCCGCGGUAAUAC